rnacentral:lncRNA from 10 species
CAGAGAACCUCAGACAAUUUGCUUUUGGAAAAGCGCUAAUCAACCACAUAUUCAUCUGGAAUGAAAAUGCCUCUCUAGCAAGACAUUGUGUGAUAAUGAAGUACAGGAGGUGAGAGCCGUCUCAGUGACUUUUAAUUAUUUCUCAUUCUUCUGUGUCUGAAGACGAUGCUGUUGUUCAUCAUUUCCUUCCCUAAUUUGUUCCAAGAUUAGCUGACUUGUCACAGUCAUUUCCUCGUGGUCCACCACCCUGCCAUGACGGUUGAAGGAUAGCAUCAUUGACUGGACUUGCUUCAUUACUAUGGCUUUGCAGAAUGGAUCAACCUCAGGUAGCCCUAUUACAAAAGACCCCACACUUGAUGGAUCAGCUGUCACUACACAGAGCGAUAAACUGGCUCAUCUGGUCUUGUGGUCCUCACGCAGGAACUGACUCAGCUCAAGAGAAAAGCUUCAACUCCCUAUGAUUUCAUCUUUGACCCGACCAACCAGAGCUCCUGACUCACCCACCCACUACCCACCAAAUUAUCCUUAAGAACUCUGAUCCCUGAAUGCUCGGGAAAUUCAUUUGAGUAAAAAUAAAACUCCAGUCUCCUGUACAGCCAGCUCUGUGUAAAUUACUCUUUCUCUGUUGUAAUUCCCGUCUUGAUAAAUUGGCUCAGUCUAGUCAGUGAGCAAGGUGACAAGUCCAAGAGAAAAAAAUAUUUUUUGAAAUACACAUAUGUGAGUGCAUGUACACAUUCCUUGUUCUCAAAACUUACUGUAACAGAACUCAAUGUUAACGUCAUUCCUCGCUAAGUUACAAAGUUAAGAAUAACACAGUGGUGUGAAUUUUUUAAUCAAAGAAGUACAAGGUAUUUUUAGAUUGUUUCUAAUGACAGAGUUUUACUGAUGUUCUUGUUUCCAUGCAUCUCCACAUAUCUCCACAACUGGAAAUUCCACUAGCAGUAUUCUUUCAUGUAUUCCUUUCUUCAUUCAUUCACUAACUACUUUUUGGAAGGGUACCAUGUGCGAGACACUGUUCUUGAUACAGAGAUGAACAAAAAAGAAAAAAUCUUUGCCAUAAUGGACCUUGCAUUCAAGUGUGGGGAGACAAGAACAUGUAAACCAAUAAUACUUUCAAAUAGUCUGAUAUGAAGAAUAUGCAACGCAGUAAAGAGAUACAAAGAGAGAGGGAGCUAUGUUAGAGAGGCUGGCCAAGUAAGGAUUUGCUAAAUUUUCACAUUUGAAAGGAAACCUAAAUGAUGUUUAUUAUCACGGGGAUCUUGAGGAUAAGUACUGAUGGCACAGGAAGCAGAAGGUACAAAUCCCUGAGGCGGCAAUUCAAGGAAUAGAAAGGCCAGGUGGCUGGAACACAGUAAACUAUAACAGAUUGUCUCCAUUAAAUGCAAAGAAAUUUAACUGAAAACAUAGUAAACCCUUCAUAUAUUUCCUAAGAAAUGCUGCACCUGACAGGGAGAAAAUAGAAGUUUUAGAUGUGAAUGAUGGGUAUUCUGAUAGACUCAAUAGUUAAGAGACACUCUCUCUCACAUCAGUCUGGCAGAAAAUAUGAUUCAAAUGAGUACAGUAGGGAAUUUAUAAAUUAUUACAUGUCAUGACCUUUGGAGUCUGAGGUAGAUUAAAACCACAAGAAUUGAC